GACGAACGCUGGCGGCGUGCUUAAUACAUGCAAGUCAACUUGACUUUAGAUAGCAAUAUCGAAAAGUAGGGUGGCGCACGGGUGCGUAACGCGUAGGUAAUCUGCCUGAGGUCUGACAUAACCCGUCGAAAGGCGGGCUAACAUCAGAUGAUAUAUAAUCACGACAUCGUGGAAAUAUCAAAUCUUCGGAGCCUUGGGAUGAGCCUGCGUCUGAUUAGGUAGUUGGCGGAGUAAUAGCCCACCAAGCCUACGAUCAGUAGCUGGUCUGAGAGGAUGAUCAGCCACACUGGAACUGAGACACGGUCCAGACUCCUACGGGAGGCAGCAGUAGGAAUAUUGCUCAAU
rnacentral:rRNA from 1 species